AGUGAACGCUGGCGGUAGGCCUAACACAUGCAAGUCGAACGGCAGCACAGUAAGAGCUUGCUCUUACGGGUGGCGAGUGGCGGACGGGUGAGGAAUACAUCGGAAUCUACUUUUUCGUGGGGGAUAACGUAGGGAAACUUACGCUAAUACCGCAUACGAUCUACGGGUGAAAGCAGGGGAUCUUCGGACCUUGCGCGAUUGAAUGAGCCGAUGUCGGAUUAGCUAGUUGGCGGGGUAAAGGCCCACCAAGGCGACGAUCCGUAGCUGGUCUGAGAGGAUGAUCGGCCACACUGGAACUGAGACACGGUCCAGACUCCUACGGGAGGCAGCAGUGGGGAAUAUUGGACAAUGGGCGCAAGCCUGAUCCAGCCAUACCGCGUGGGUGAAGAAGGCCUUCGGGUUGUAAAGCCCUUUUGUUGGGAAAGAAAAGCAGCAGGUUAAUACCCCGCUGUUCUGACGGUACCCAAAGAAUAAGCACCGGCUAACUUCGUG
rnacentral:rRNA from 1 species